rnacentral:RNase_P_RNA from 1 species
CCAGAGGGUCGGGUGAUCGCGAUAUGGGUUGCCAUAUCGAGGAAAGUCCGGGCUCCACGAUAUCACGGUGCCGGGUAACGCCCGGCGGGGGCGACCCCAGGGAUAGUGCCACAGAGAGCAGACCGCCCGGCGCUUCGGCGAAGGGUAAGGGUGAAAGGGUGCGGUAAGAGCGCACCGGGGCGAUGGUAACACCGCCCGUCAUGGUAAACCCCACCGGGAGCAAGACCGAAUAGGGACGGCACGUCUUCAAUGGCAGGGGCUGAUAUCGCCCUCGCGCGUCCGGGUUGGUUGCUUGAGGGCGCGGGCAACCGCGUUCCCAGAUGAAUGAUCGCCGAUAACAGAACCCGGCUUACAGACCCUCUGGCAAU